rnacentral:lncRNA from 1 species
UGGGGUUUAUCAUAAUCAUGAAAAUAUAAUGCAGCAAAUGAUAAAACACAAUACCUCAUGAAUAAAAUAACUAAUGUCAUGCAAAUAAGCAAGAAGAUAUCACAGAAAGUCCUUUUGCAUCACCCAUGUGAUUGGCUUGCAGGGCACUAUUCUUUUAUUAAAAUCAAUAGGAUGAAUUAUAUGAUAACCAUGUGUCAGUAAGUUCUAGAAUGUU